UUAUAAACUGCGCGAAACAGGAGAAAGAAAGUUAGUCGGCGCUAGGGUUUUCGAAGAACCCUAAUUCGACGAACAAUCAAUUGGGCCGAUGAUGACGACAUAACGUCAUGAGCCAGAACAAUCAAUUGUGCGUAGGGCUUUUUGCCCUAAUUUGUUGCUGGCAAAGAUUAAUGUGCCAAAAUGCUAAUCUGAGGCUUUUUUAUUAAUAUUUAUUUUAAAUAUUUAUCUUGAAAUAAUUAUUCGGUAUUAUUUGCCUGACUUAAUUUUCUGCUAUAUAACUUUUUAGAUUAAUAUUCAAGUGGGUUCAUUUGUUUUCUAUUUCAUGUGGAAUUAAAAGCUUAGAUCCCCACCGAUGAUGAAAAUUCGAGGCAUGAGCCACAGCAACAUUGUGCGUGAGGCUUGGUGCCUGAGUUUCUGCUGGCUAAGAUUAAUGUGCCAAAAUGCUAAUCUGAGGCCCUAACUAAUGUAAUUGACCCGAGUCAUCACUUGUUUAUUUUCAUUCACACUCACGUUGAAAGAGUGCUCCUUUUCUAUGUGCAUUUUAACUGUAGAAUAUAUAGUAAACACAUAGUAAACACGAAUUUCAUUGGAGGUGCUACCCUUUGUAAUAUGCCUAAAAUCAUAGUAAAAUACAAAAAAAAGAUUAAAGUGUUAUUUUCUUGAUGGAAUUAAAAUUAUGCUCACUGGAUUUCAUAUGCCUAAGAUCAUAAUAAAAUACAAAAAAAAGAAAAAAAAUACAAUUAGAGUGCUAAUUUCUUGAGGGAAUUAAAAGCAUGCUCACAGGAUUUCAUCGGAGAUUAUAAUUUGAAACCCUAUAUAAACCCUAAUCAUACUAAAAUUCAAGAAAUUGAAGUGUUCAUAGACAAAACGCAUCAAGAACAAAAUAUUAUAGUUCGAAGCCCUAGACAAACCCUAAUCAUACAAAAAUUCAUGAAAUUAAACCAAGAUUAACGCACACACUUAGUCGAUGUCACAGAUAAAAAAAAAGUCAAGAAUGAAAUAUACCUAAAUCACAGCGAUGAUCAAACUGACGAUGGUGGAUCUCCCGAUCAACUUCAUUAGCAAAAAUAUUGUAGCAUUUGCCUAUGCCGCACUCCACCUUAUGAAGGCGAUGAAUUGGAUGUUCCAGUAUUUUUGUUGAUGAAGUUGUUCGGGAGAUCCACCAUCGUCAGUUUGAUCAUCGCUGUGAUUUAGGUAUAUUUCAUUAUUGACUUUUUUUUAUCUGUGACAUCGUCUGAGUGUGCGCGUUAAUCUUGGUUUAAUUUCAUGAAUUUUUGUAUGAUUAGGGUUUGUCUAGGGUUUCGAACUAUGAUAUUUUGUUCUUGAUGCGUUGUUUCUAUGGACACUUUAAUUUCUUGAAUUUUAGUAUGAUUAGGGUUUAUAUAGGGUUUCAAAUUAUAAUCUACGAUGAAAUCCUGUGAGCAUACUUUUAAUUCCCUUAAAAAAUUAGCACUCUAAUUGUAUUUUUAAAUUUUUUUUGUAUUUUAUUAUGAUCUUAGGCAUAUGAAAUCCUGUGAGCAUAAUUCUAAUUCCAUCAAGAAAAUAACACUUUAAUCUUUUUUUUUGUAUUUUAUUAUGAUUUUAGGCAUAUUACAAAGGGUAGCACCUCAAAUAAAAUUCAUGUUUACUAUGUUCUCUGCAUGCAAGUUACUUUAAUCUGCAUGUAAUAUAAUGGUAGAUUUCUAGAUACUAGUAGAGACUCAUCAAAGUCAUGUUUAUGCUUUGAUUCACUAUUUCAUAUUUCCUAAUUUGUCUACUCUUGAUGUGCAAUCAUUUCCUUUUUGUAUUUAGAUAGUCUCAUAACAGUGCAUAUUUUAUAGACUUGGUGCUUUUAUACUUCUAUGCAAAAUAGUUUGUCUACUGUUUUGCAUGAGAGAGGGUAAACCAUUUUCUUAUUUAUAACUUCUAAUUAGCAGCAUUAUUUGCCUGAGACACACACAUAUAUUAGAUGAAGCAGCAUAAUAGGAUUUGAAUGGCUAAGCGAGUGCAGUUAAUUCUACAGUCAUUGUUGUCUUCAAGUUUGGUAAUCUACUGGUGAGAGUUAUUGCCCUGCUUUAUAUGUGCUUGUAUCCAUGGAUGUAAUUGUUGUACAAGUUUCCAUAUUUGUAAAUGUUGCAUAAAUGUAUGUUGUCUA